rnacentral:rRNA from 1 species
UACGAAGGGGGCUAGCGUUGUUCGGAAUUACUGGGCGGAAAGCGCACGUAGGCGGCCUGUCGCGUCGGAUGUGAAAGCCCGGGGCUUAACCCCGGGUCUGCAUUCGAUACGGGCAGGCUGGAGUUCGGUAGGGGAGAUCGGAAUUCCUGGUGUAGCGGUGAAAUGCGCAGAUAUCAGGAGGAACACCGGUGGCGAAGGCGGAUCUCUGGGCCGAUACUGACGCUGAGGAGCGAAAGCGUGGGGAGCGAACAGG